rnacentral:rRNA from 1 species
ACUCCUACGGGAGGCAGCAGUGGGGAAUUUUGGACAAUGGGCGCAAGCCUGAUCCAGCCAGCCGCGUGAGUGAAGAAGGCCUUCGGUUGUAAGCUCUUUCAGUUGAGAAGAAAAAGUACGUGACUAAUAAUACAUGAUUCAUGACGGUAUCAACAGAAGAAGCACCGGCUAACUACGUGCCAGCAGCCGCGGUAAU